AGUUUUUUAGAUUAGCUGCAAGUCUUCUGAAACAAGGGAAAUUUAUGGUUCAAACAGAAGUUUAAUGACACACUGUUUACUCAUUUAAAUGAAGCAAAUGAAUG